rnacentral:rRNA from 1 species
UACGGUAGGGACCAAGCGUUGUUCGGAUUUACUGGGCGUAAAGGGCGCGUAGGCGGCGUGACAAGUCACUUGUGAAAUCUCCGGGCUUAACUCGGAACGGCCAAGUGAUACUGUCGUGCUAGAGUGCAGAAGGGGCAAUCGGAAUUCUUGGUGUAGCGGUGAAAUGCGUAGAUAUCAAGAGGAACACCUGAGGUGAAGACGGGUUGCUGGGCUGACACUGACGCUGAGGCGCGAAAGCUAGGGGAGCAAACGGG